GACGAACCGUGCGAACGUUAUUCGGAAUCACUGGGCUUAAAGCGCGUGUAGGCGGAUGGGAACGUCGGCUUCUGAAAGCCCCCGGCUCAACCGGGGAAGUGGGGCCGAAACGACCCGUCUCGAGGGACGUAGGGGGAUCUGGAACUUCCGGUGGAGCGGUGAAAUGCGUUGAGAUCGGAAGGAACGCCCGUGGCGAAAGCGAGAUCCUGAACGUUUUCUGACGCUGAGACGCGAAAGCUAGGGGAGCAAACGGG
rnacentral:rRNA from 1 species